UACGGAGGGGGCUAGCGUUGUUCGGAAUUACUGGGCGUAAAGCGCGCGUAGGCGGAUCUGCAAGUCGGGGGUGAAAUCCCGAGGCUCAACCUCGGAACUGCCUUCGAUACUGCGGGUCUCGAGUCCGGGAGAGGUGAGUGGGAAUUCCUAGUGUAGAGGUGAAAUUCGUAGAUAUCGGGAGGAACACCUGUGGCGAAAGCGGCCUUCUGGACGAACACUGACGCUGAGACACGAAAGCGUGGGGAGCGAACAGG
rnacentral:rRNA from 1 species